rnacentral:rRNA from 1 species
UGGGGACAUUGCGCAAUGGGGGGAACCCUGACGCAGCCAUGCCGCGUGAAUGAAGAAGGCCUUCGGGUUGUAAAGUUCUUUCGGUAUUGAGGAAGGUUGAUGUGUUAAUAGCACAUCAAAUUGACGUUAAAUACAGAAGAAGCCNNNCNNNNNAANCUCCGUGCCAGCAGCCGCGGUAAUACGGAGGGUGCGAGCGUUAAUCGGAAUAACUGGGCGUAAAGGGCACGUAGGCGGUUAUUUAAGUGAGGUGUGAAAGCCCCGGGCUUAACCUGGGAAUUGCAUUUCAGACUGGGUAACUAGAGUACUUUAGGGAGGGGUAGAAUUCCACGUGUACCGGGUGAAAUGCGUAGAGAUGUGGAGGAAUACCGAAGGCGAAGGCAGCCCCUUGGGAAUGUACUGACGCUCAUGUGCGAAAGCGUGGGGAGCAAACAGGAUUAGAUACCCUGGUAGUCCACGCUGUAAACGCUGUCGAUUUGGGGGUUGGGGUUUAACUCUGGCGCCCGUAGCUAACGUGAUAAAUCGACCGCCUGGGGAGUACGGCCGCAAGGUUA